UGAGGAAAAUGCCAAUGGUGCCGCACACAAAGAGCGAAGCCAUGAUGAAGAAGCAGACGCGGUCGAUCACUCUCCCCACCAGGAUCCACUCCUCGUUCUCCUGUUGGCUCAUACCAAGGCCUCAACGCACGCCCGGAUCUCAGGGCUCGCCUCCUCCAGGCUCUGGCAGAAGUCCUGCGCACAGUUGUUCUCCAGGCCACGUCCUACAUGACCCAGCAUCACUCAGUGCAUUGGAGAAUGGAGACAGUUACCUGG